UGUAGGCUGCAACUCGCCUACACGAAGCUGGAAUCGCUAGUAAUCGCGGAUCAGCACGCCGCGGUGAAUACGUUCCCGGGCCUUGUACACACCGCCCGUCACACCAUGAGAGUCUGUAACACCCAAAGCCGGUGGGAUAACCUUUAUAGGAGUCAGCCGUCUAAGGUAGGACAGAUGAUUAGGGUGAAGUCGUAACAAGGUAGC
rnacentral:rRNA from 1 species